UACGAAGGGGGCUAGCGUUGCUCGGAAUCACUGGGCGUAAAGGGCGCGUAGGCGGUCUUUUAAGUCGGGGGUGAAAGCCUGUGACUCAACCACAGAAUUGCCUUCGAUACUGGGAGACUUGAGUUCGGAAGAGGUUGGUGGAACUGCGAGUGUAGAGGUGAAAUUCGUAGAUAUUCGCAAGAACACCGGUGGCGAAGGCGGCCAACUGGUCCGACACUGACGCUGAGGCGCGAAAGCGUGGGGAGCAAACAGG
rnacentral:rRNA from 1 species